rnacentral:lncRNA from 1 species
UCUUUCUUCUAUCUCUUACCGCAUUUUCUUCCUUUUCACUUUUUCUGUCUAUUAUUUUACCCCUCACCUUCAAGGAAAGAAAACUAACGAGAUACUACUAGUGAUAGAAAGAGAAAAUAGUUUAAAAAAAAAAGUUGAGAAUAUAAAACGCAUCAAAGAUUCGUUUUCUUAUGCGACGCCCCGACCUCGGUGUGUUUUUUUCCUCCCAAGUUUUUCUACACCCUCCGAUCCAACCCACAAUACCACGUUCUCUCUCUACCUUCUCUUUCUUUCUUGCUUGUUUAGAAAGUUUAUUCCGAAUUUUGAUUCUACUUAGAUCNNNN